rnacentral:lncRNA from 12 species
AUGAUGAACAGAAAAGGAAGGAGAAGAAAGAGGAAGAGACAAGAAAGAAAUUUAACUACUAAAGGGAGGAAUGAAGGAAACUGUAUGAAGGGAAUUUUUGAGGAUGAGAAAAGCCUGGGUAUGAUUAAAAUAAAAGAAAGAAGAAAAAGGAACUGGAGAGUCCAAAGACUACAUAGUCUUGCUUUUGCACACGACUCUGUGUGGGACUGCAGCUCAGCGGGCAUGGUGGGAGAAGGCAGCAGGCGCAUCCCCACACUUCCUACGGGACUCAACGGUCUAGAGAGGAAAAUCCAGAUGUGUUAGACGGUCCUAUGGAGAAGCCCCUUGACUGUCACAUCCUCUCUUCUCAAUGAAGAAAAAUCAUGAUUUCAGUGGCACAGAGAAAUGUGAAUACUUAUGUUGAAGGCAUUUGACAAUCUCAUUUUUUCACUCAAAUCAACAUGCCUAAGGGCACCCUAAAGUGUACCCAAGCCAGCAACACCAGCCUUCUCCCUGCAUCCCCUGGGUUACACAGUCACCACUGGAUUUAUGCCAGACUACACCAAAAUGAACAUCUGAGAAUUAUUCCCCAAGGACCUCAGCUCUUCUCCCAUUGCAGAGGGUGGGUAUGAGGCCUGAGGCCCAAGGCCCAGACAUAGUCUGCUGACUAUCCUUUAGCCUUUAAUAUUUCUGCAGAAAUGCAUGAUACUCUGUCUCCUAAAUCGUCCCUCAAGAAAGAGGCAGAGCUUAUGUUUGGACUUUACGACAUCUCUCAUUUUACCACGGUGCUCACUCGAACCCUAAAUUUUGAACAAUGGAGGCAAAGAAAUGUAACUUAGAUUAGGCAGCUUUUCCUGGGAUCACCAGUGCUGCAUGAACUGGAAAAAAGAAUUCUAGACAUCACCUUACAAGGCAAGAUCAUGUGUGAUUUUGGUGUGGAGCUCGCAGGUAGCAGAUGGAUUUCUGUGGUUGGGAGGAAGUGUCCAGGGGCAACAGCAUACACAGAUCUACACAGCUCAGCUGUCCAUGAACAUCAUGUGCUCUGGAAAACCGCUAGAAGACUGGAAACGUGGUUCUAGUGGUAGAAAAGACACUGCUAUAGAAGACCCAUAUGGAAAGUAUGGGUAAAAUAGAUCCAAGGAGUGUGAGAAUGGAGAAAGCAAUUUUAAAAGCUGAAAUUACUAUUUUGUACAAUGUUUACUUUAAAAUAUUUGCCUAGGCACCUGGGUGGCUCAGUUGGUGAAGCGUCUGCCAUCAGCUCAGGUCCUGAUCCCAGGGUCCUGGGAUCAGGUCCCACAUGAGGCUCCCUGCUCAGCAGGGAGUCUGCUUCUCCCUCUGCCUCUCCGUGCUUGUGAUCUCUCUGCCUCUCUCUCUCAAAUAAAUGAAAUCUUAAAAAAAUAUUUGCCUAUAAU